rnacentral:rRNA from 2 species
AUGGCCUCGCUACAGCUUAUAGUGUUAGUCGAGCGACUGAUUAGAAGCUUGCUUCUAUGACGUUAGCGGCGGACGGGUGAGUAACACGUGGGCAACCUGCCUGUAAGACUGGGAUAACUUCGGGAAACCGAAGCUAAUACCGGAUAGGAUCUUCUCCUUCAUGGGAGAUGAUUGAAAGAUGGUUUCGGCUAUCACUUACAGAUGGGCCCGCGGUGCAUUAGCUAGUUGGUGAGGUAACGGCUCACCAAGGCAACGAUGCAUAGCCGACCUGAGAGGGUGAUCGGCCACACUGGGACUGAGACACGGCCCAGACUCCUACGGGAGGCAGCAGUAGGGAAUCUUCCGCAAUGGACGAAAGUCUGACGGAGCAACGCCGCGUGAGUGAUGAAGGCUUUCGGGUCGUAAAACUCUGUUGUUAGGGAAGAACAAGUACGAGAGUAACUGCUCGUACCUUGACGGUACCUAACCAGAAAGCCACGGCUAACUACGUGCCAGCAGCCGCGGUAAUACGUAGGUGGCAAGCGUUAUCCGGAAUUAUUGGGCGUAAAGCGCGCGCAGGCGGUUUCUUAAGUCUGAUGUGAAAGCCCACGGCUCAACCGUGGAGGGUCAUUGGAAACUGGGGAACUUGAGUGCAGAAGAGAAAAGCGGAAUUCCACGUGUAGCGGUGAAAUGCGUAGAGAUGUGGAGGAACACCAGUGGCGAAGGCGGCUUUUUGGUCUGUAACUGACGCUGAGGCGCGAAAGCGUGGGGGAGCAACCGGAUUAGAUGUCCUGGUAAUCCACGCCCAAAACGAUGAGUGCUAAGUGUUAAAGCGCUUCCCCCCCCUACUGCAGCAGCUUACCCAUUUACACUCC